rnacentral:rRNA from 1 species
UACGUAGGGUGCGAGCGUUGUCCGGAAUUACUGGGCGUAAAGAGCUCGUAGGUGGUUUGUCGCGUUGUUCGUGAAAACUCACAACUCAAUUGUGGGCGUGCGGGCGAUACGGGCAGACUGGAGUACUGCAGGGGAGACUGGAAUUCCUGGUGUAGCGGUGGAAUGCGCAGAUAUCAGGAGGAACACCGGUGGCGAAGGCAGGUCACUGGGCCGCAACUGACGCUGAGGAGCGAAAGCAUGGGGAGCGAACAGG